UACGUAGGGGGCUAGCGUUGCUCGGAAUCACUGGGCGUAAAGGGUGCGUAGGCGGGGCUUUAAGUCAGGGGUUAAAUCCUGGAGCUCAACUCCAGAACUGCCUUUGAUACUGAGGAUCUUGAGUUCGGGAGAGGUGAGUGGAACUGCGAGUGUAGAGGUGAAAUUCGUAGAUAUUCGCAAGAACACCAGUGGCGAAGGCGGCUCACUGGCCCGAUACUGACGCUGAGGCACGAAAGCGUGGGGAGCAAACAGG
rnacentral:rRNA from 1 species